GCUACCCCAGGUCAGGUGGGAUUACCCGCUGAAUUUAAGCAUA
rnacentral:rRNA from 1 species